GAUCUCCAAAUAGAGGCGGAAACUCCAAAAUGGGGUGGGACCUCCAAAAUAGGGCGUGGCUUCCUCCCAUUGAGAGACAGGCGCAUUACACGCAUGCACAAUUUUUCCCCCAAUCCACUUGUGCAAACUCUGCCCCACAGCUGAUUCAGAAGUUUUUACUGGUUGUGUCAGUUAAAGUGUUUCCUAAACUACAAAAAACAACAAGAAAUGCAAACCCCUAAACCUACCCCACACCUUACCUUAACCAGUGAAAUUGACUGAAUGACGGGAUUGGCGCUGAAUAGCGUGAUAAAGUUGCAAUUCAGGAGAUUAACAGUUAAUAAGAUUAUCUGAAAUGAGACUCACAAUGGCACCUUUUUAGUUACACCCAGCAUCACUACCCCCUCAUAGCCUGCGAAUUUCGUGCCUUGGGACGACCUUGUUGCUUGGAAUAAAGCGAUAGAGUAAAAUAAUUUCCAUCCGUUGGGACGGUUCCUGAGUGUUUCCGUUUACUUCAUGAAGCAGAGGUUCAGAUUUGGGUCAGCUGGUAAGUAUCGUCUGAAUAGGGCUAGAGACAUAAACAACAACAAAAAAUCAGUUAAGUCCAUUAUGAAGAUGAGUGUAAUAAUGUGGAAAGGAACAAUAAAAAGUAUUGAACACAUUUGAACACAUUCAAAUUUAUUCAAUACUUGCUUGGGGACAAAUUUUUCCCCAUAAUAAUAUGGUGAUUAUAAGAGACUGUUUCCUACAGGUGUGUUAAACAUGGAUCCCUUGUUUCCCACCUUGUGCAUUUUAGACACAAAAAGGCAACAAUGCCGCCUUAAGGCUUCAAAGGAGGCCAAGGCACUGGCAUCUCACAACACAGUCCAGGAUAAAAAAACAGCUUGUGAGGAAGCCAAAAAGAGAUGUCAGUCCAUUACCUCGACUCCAUCAGAGGUGCAGUUCCUUGGCCAACUCCAGAUUACAUUUGGCAAAUACAACGGCCAAAGUUUUAAAUUGCUGGUGGAGAACAACGUUGGCUACAUGAAGUAGUAUGCUGUACUUAACAGAAUUAACAUUUUUCAUCACUUGUUUUUCCACAAAUUGAUGGUCUUAUGUGAUAUUUUAGUCUGCUUGAUAUGCACAUAAAAGAACACCACCGUCAUGAAAGAAAAGCGAGCCCUGAUGAGUGGGUGAAUGAUCUCCUUCUGAGGUAUGUGCAGCUGUUUCCACAAGUCUCCUGUCACCUGAAGAUCUACGUGGACAGGGCCAUUAAUGGACAUUCCUGGAGAAGUGGCAGUGGUACAGCCUGCACAAGACUCUUCAGAUUGACCCACAAGCCGGGACCGACCACGAAUGGAAAAUGGCACAGGAGACGCACUGCUCUGUUCAGCAGUAGCUGGUGAUGAAGGCGGAGGACAUCACCACCAAGUCUCUGAAGCACUUCAGGAAGGGACCCUCCCACAGCAGCUGCCAGCUCCAGCUCAUCAGGGUCCAAAGGCGAUGGUGGCUGGGUGGAUGACGCUCUGCUGGUGUAAGCUCUCACCUCCUUUAAAAGCAGUUGGGGGUAGAAAAAAGUCUCCAGAAAAAACUCCCAUCCUGAUCCUCCACAGAAGCCAACCACAGACUGUUUCACCGUAUGCUGCUCAUGCAUGAGUUCCUGCAUCAGCACCUCAGCCAUGCCUGGGUACUGCGACAUCAGCAGCAGACACAGCACAUCCUGAGGUGACGCUUUAGGGUUGGCACAACAUGUGGGAGUCUGGUCCUAAUGGGCUCACCAGCGCAGACAUAACGUGGCUAAAGGAGGAUGCUGAAAGAGGACUUUUUCAGAGGGCAAUGUCUUAUAAAGACAAGCACGGCAGCACGAGGUGGAGGAAAGUCCUGAAGGACAACAGAAUGUGGUUUCACCCUCCUGAAUGUCCUGAAGUGGUGGAAGGAAAGUUCCCCUCAGCAGACCCUUUCAUAGCUCCGUUGUUUUCUGGAGACCAGUCGUAGUGUGGCGUUACAGUCUUCGGUGUCCAAGGUCUGACUGAUCGGCACGUUCCAGUCAGAAGGCCUUUCUUAACGUUGUGGGUAUUCGAAAACUUUCAGGCAGAUCUGCCACAUGUCUGGCUGGUACUCCAUGCUGACAGAAGUCCUUGCAUGCAAUGCUUGCAGAAAGGUUGCAAAGGAGUCACAGAGCAGUGUUCCCUGCUGUCUUGAUGUUACAGUGAGUUUUCUGCACAAU